AGAGUUUGAUCAUGGCUCAGAGCGAACGCUGGCGGCAGGCCUAACACAUGCAAGUCGAGCGGGCACCUUCGGGUGUCAGCGGCAGACGGGAGAGUAACACGUGGGAACGUGCCCUUUGGUUCGGAACAACCCAGGGAAACUUGGGCUAAUACCGGAUAAGCCCUUACGGGGAAAGAUUUAUCGCCGAAGGAUCGGCCCGCGUCUGAUUAGCUAGUUGGUGGGGUAAUGGCUCACCAAGGCGACGAUCAGUAGCUGGUCUGAGAGGAUGAUCAGCCUCACUGGGACUGAGACACGGCCCAGACUCCUACGGGAGGCAGCAGUGGGGAAUAUUGGACAAUGGGCGCAAGCCUGAUCCAGCCAUGCCGCGUGGGUGAUGAAGGCCCUAGGGUUGUAAAGCCCUUUCGGCGGGGAAGAUAAUGACGGUACCCGCAGAAGAAGCCCCGGCUACUUCUGCCAGCAGCCGCGGUA
rnacentral:rRNA from 1 species